AUGCAUCUAUUUGACAGACUUGUAGCAGUUACUGUCUGCUGCUAAGGUUUUCACUAGAGAUGCAAGAAAAAUGUGUCCUCGUGCUUUCCGUCUGUCUGAUUGUGGCAGUCAAUGGGGCAAUACAAGGAAAAAAAUA